ensembl:lncRNA
AGGAAAUCAGCUGUGCGUGUAUUAUUACCUGCUGUGGAGUUCUUCAAAGGUUCGCCCCUGUCUAGAUCUCUUGACUUGUCGGUUGGUAGAAAGAAGAGGGAAGCGUUCGACCCAUCCAGUGUAGUACACCCCGGGUGAGACAACUUACCUGUGUGUGACGCCAGCGGAGGCCGUGUUCGGCCCAACGCAACAGUUUUCGAUCCGCCUCUCUAUCAGCAGUUGGUAGAAGCCUCAGAAAAGGAACGUCUGACGUCUAUUCCUUCGAAGGUCUGUGAGUUACAUCACUUCCUGUUUCCCUGUAUAUUCACCGUAAGCGUAUGCCCAAAGCUAAAGUCAGCAUAUUGUGUUGUACACCCACCUGUCUGCCCAGAUGAAGUCCCAGUUACAUUUGAUGUACUUACCCUAUGCCCAAAGCUAAAGCCAGCAUAUUGUGUUGUACACUCGCCUGUCUGCCCAGAUGAAGUCCCAGUUACCUUUGAUGUACUUACCUUAUGCCCAAAGCUAAAGCCAGCAUAUUGUGUUGUACACUCGCCUGUCUGCCCAGAGUGAAGUCCCAGUUGUAUUGGAUGUACUUACCUUAUGCCCAAAGCUAAAGCCAACAUAUUGUGUUGUACACUCGCCUGUAUGCUCAAGUGAAACCCCAGUUGUCUUUCCUACGGACUUACUUGUGCCCCCGAGUGAAGAGCCAGCGGCCCCUCUGUCCACUAUCCGUGUCCAGUCCUGUUACACUUACCUUUAUGCUCUUGUGCAGAUCUAGCGGGUCCCUUUGAAGCGUCUACCUGCAUGUCGACUCGUCACUCAGGAUACAGAGACCGUGGAAACCCCCUCCCGUACACUUACCAGUACGGUUUUAGUUGGAUCCCGGCAGCCCUUGGGCAGUUCCCCC